GACGGGGAGGUUUGGCACCUCGAUGUCGGCUCAUCGCAUCCUGGGGCUGUAGUCGGUCCCAAGGGUUGGGCUGUUCGCCCAUUAAAGCGGUACGCGAGCUGGGUUCAGAACGUCGUGAGACAGUUCGGUCCCUAUCCGUCGUGGGCGCAGGAAAUUUGAGAGGAGCUGUCCUUAGUACGAGAGGACCGGGAUGGACGCACCGCUGGUGUACCAGUUGUCUUGCCAAAGGCAUCGCUGGGUAGCUAUGUGCGGACGGGAUAAGUGCUGAAAGCAUCUAAGCAUGAAGCCCCCCUCAAGAUGAGAUUUCCCAUAGCGUCAAGCUAGUAAGAUCCCUGAAAGAUGAUCAGGUUGAUAGGUCAGAGGUGGAAGCGCGGUGACGUGUGGAGCUGACUGAUACUAAUCGAUCGAGGACUUAACCUA
rnacentral:ncRNA from 1 species